rnacentral:rRNA from 1 species
CAUAAACAAUCCUUCGGGUGCGCUUAUGGGCGGCGAGCGGCGGACGGGUGAGUAAUGCCUGGGAAUAUGCCCUGAUGUGGGGGAUAACCAUUGGAAACGAUGGCUAAUACCGCAUAAUGUCUUCGGACCAAAGAGGGGGACCUUCGGGCCUCUCGCGUCAGGAUUAGCCCAGGUGAGAUUAGCUAGUUGGUGAGGUAAGAGCUCACCAAGGCGACGAUCUCUAGCUGGUCUGAGAGGAUGAUCAGCCACACUGGAACUGAGACACGGUCCAGACUCCUACGGGAGGCAGCAGUGGGGAAUAUUGCACAAUGGGGGAAACCCUGAUGCAGCCAUGCCGCGUGUGUGAAGAAGGCCUUCGGGUUGUAAAGCACUUUCAGUUGUGAGGAAGGCAUAUACGUUAAUAGCGUGUGUGUUUGACGUUAGCAACAGAAGAAGCACCGGCUAACUCCGUGCCAGCAGCCGCGGUAAUACGGAGGGUGCGAGCGUUAAUCGGAAUUACUGGGCGUAAAGCGCAUGCAGGCGGCUUGUUAAGCCAGAUGUGAAAGCCCGGGGCUCAACCUCGGAAUAGCAUUUGGAACUGGCAGGCUAGAGUCUUGUAGAGGGGGGUAGAAUUUCAGGUGUAGCGGUGAAAUGC